rnacentral:rRNA from 1 species
UACGUAGGGUGCAAGCGUUGUCCGGAAUUAUUGGGCGUAAAGAGCGUGUAGGCGGCCAGGUAGGUCUGCUGUGAAAACUCGAGGCUCAACCUCGAGACGUCGGCGGAAACCAUCUGGCUAGAGUCCGGAAGAGGAGAGUGGAAUCCCUGGUGUAGCGGUGAAAUGCGCAGAUAUCAGGAAGAACACCCGUGGCGAAGGCGGCUCUCUGGGACGGUACUGACGCUGAGACGCGAAAGCGUGGGGAGCGAACAGG